UAUGCUGCAGCUGUUCUCUUCCGCAUCUCUGAGGACAAGAGUUCAGACUACAGGAAGCGUGUGUCGGUGGAGCUCACCCAUUCCCUCUUCAAACAUGACCCUGCAGCUUGGGAAAUGGCACAUGCCGCCAUGCCACUCGACCCUGGAUAUAUACCAGAUGAUCUGGAUGCAGUUUACCCUCCAUAUGGUUACUCUGAUUUACCCAUGGAUGGCCUCCCGCUGGACGCUGAGCUACAUGAGCAAUACAUGCCAGAAAUGACCUAUGACCCUCGACAGGUGUACCCAAAUCCUCUUUAACAACACUGCCAGCAGUCUUCAGGUCAAAUGAAGUGGAUGAUGAAGAUGGAGACUACAAAUCAGUUUGUUCCCUGCAAAAAAACACGGAGCAGGGCUUGAACUGUGCAGUGCUCGAACGAAAGAAGAACAAAACACACGACUUGCUUUAGUUCACCACCGGUCUGUUUGUGACGUGAACUCUAAGCACUGCCUAACUCAUCUUGUUAUCUUGUGCUACUAACAGAGUGACAAAGCCUAAAAGUGUGGUGACGCGAUAAGCAUGUAAUCAUAACAUGUACAUUGUGUACUUUAUAUUGUUUGUCCAAAGAUGUCCAGACAACUCCGUCCUAGAAAUGUAGCAUAGCUAGUUAGCGGCUCAGCCACACGAGGGUUCGUUUUCCUUUGCGUUCUGUGUAUUUGUGGCUCUGAGGCAUUGCUACUGAGUAGAAAAUAAACAAAAGCAACAACAAAACCUACAUCUAAAAACAGAAACUCGUUUGUAUUUUCAUAAUCUCACUAUUAUAAGAUGACAUUUGUUGACAUUGAUAUGUUGUCCUGCAAACCUCUUCUAACAGGCCAAGGGCAGGAUUUCUUCUGUUUGUGCUUGAUUUCUUUAUUGUGUUUAAGAGACAAACUGAUAUUCAGUUGGAAGAGAAAGUUUGUGGCGUAUGAUUUCAUGUAAAGACAUUUUAGCAGGCAUUGAUGGAUGACAGAUCUGUACACAUUACUCACAGCUAUAACAUACAAAAGUAUUUGGACACAAAUUCCGAAUAAACCAAUAAAAAAU